GACGUAGGGCGCGAGCGUUGUCCGGAUUCAUUGGGCGUAAAGGGUGCGUAGGCGGCGGGGUAAGUUUGAUGUGAAAUUCCGGGGCUCAACCCUGGCAUGGCAUUGAAGUACUACCUUGCUAGAGUACCGGAGAGGAAACUGGAAUUUACGGUGUAGCAGUGAAAUGCGUAGAGAUCGUAAGGAAGACCAGUGGCGAAGGCGGGUCUCUGGACAGUUCCUGACGCUGAGGCACGAAGGUCAGGGGAGCAAACGGG
rnacentral:rRNA from 1 species